GAUGAACGCUAGCUACAGGCUUAACACAUGCAAGUCGAGGGGAAACGACAUCGAAAGCUUGCUUUUGAUGGGCGUCGACCGGCGCACGGGUGAGUAACGCGUAUCCAACCUGCCCAUCACUUGGGGAUAACCUUGCGAAAGUAAGACUAAUACCCAAUGAUAUCUCUAGAAGACAUCUGAAAGAGAUUAAAGAUUUAUCGGUGAUGGAUGGGGAUGCGUCUGAUUAGCUUGUUGGCGGGGUAACGGCCCACCAAGGCAACGAUCAGUAGGGGUUCUGAGAGGAAGGUCCCCCACAUUGGAACUGAGACACGGUCCAAACUCCUACGGGAGGCAGCAGUGAGGAAUAUUGGUCAAUGGGCGAGAGCCUGAACCAGCCAAGUAGCGUGCAGGAAGACGGCCCUAUGGGUUGUAAACUGCUUUUAUAAGAGAAUAAAGUGAGAGUCGUGACUCUUUUUGUAUGUACCUUAUGAAUAAGGACCGGCUAAUUCCGUG
rnacentral:rRNA from 1 species